GAUGAACGCUAGCGGCAAGCCUAAUACAUGCAAGUCGAGGGGUAGAAGAGGCUUGCUUCUUUGAGACCGGCGCACGGGUGCGUAACGCGUAUGCAACCUACCUUCAUCUGGGGGAUAGCCCGGAGAAAUCCGGAUUAAUACCGCAUAAAAUCACAGGAUGGCAUUAUCCAAUGAUCAAACAUUUAUGGGAUGGAGAUGGGCAUGCGUGUCAUUAGCUAGUUGGCGGGGUAACGGCCCACCAAGGCGACGAUGACUAGGGGAUCUGAGAGGAUGGCCCCCCACACUGGUACUGAGACACGGGCCAGACUCCUACGGGAGGCAGCAGUAAGGAAUAUUGGUCAAUGGAGGCAACUCUGAACCAGCCAUGCCGCGUGCAGGAAGACUGCCCUAUGGGUUGUAAACUGCUUUUAUUCGGGAAUAAACCUUAUUACAUGUAAUAAGCUGAAUGUACCGAAGGAAUAAGGAUCGGCUAACUCCGUGCCAGCCGCCGCAGUAACAC
rnacentral:rRNA from 1 species